UACGUAGGAGGCAAGCGUUGUCCGGAAUUACUGGGCGUAAAGCGCGUGUAGGUGGUGGGACAAGUCUGCUGUGAAAGCGCCUGGCUUAACCGGGCGAGGUCGGCGGAAACUGUUCGACUCGAGGACGGUAGAGGGGGGUGGAAUUCCCAGUGUAGUGGUGAAAUGCGUAGAGAUCGGGAGGAACACCUGUGGCGAAGGCGGCCCCCUGGGCCGGCCCUGACACUGAGACGCGAAGGCGUGGGGAGCGAACAGG
rnacentral:rRNA from 1 species